AGCCAUGUGAUGAACACAAAGCGAACUAUUCUUUCGCCUUUUACUAAAGAAUACUGGGUGUUUGUUACAAUUAAUGGCAUCCAAUUUUGAAGGGUGUUAAACAUUAAACACCC
rnacentral:snRNA from 1 species